ACCAAUCUGGUGGAACCAAGUUACGCUUCUACAUUGCGAUUAGCUGAACUCAAGCUCCAAUUGCAGCGCUGUGGGUCGGGCCUUUAAAAUAUUUUACUAUGAAAGCAUCCUUGCGGGUUUUUUUCGACUGUGAAGGAAUGGGCGCGAGGGUCUUUCUUUGGCGUGUGGAGUAAGUAAGCAAGGAGACAGAGCGAGUUAGGAUCUUGAAAUGUGAAGCUGACAACAUAUUUUUUUGAAAUUCUGCUCCAAAGAAGAAUGAUAAGGAGGCACUUUCCUUUGCAUGCCGGGCAGAUAUUGAACUAACAGAAAGAAGGUCGCAAAAGGUGAUGACAUGACCUUGGGGCACUGCAACCGUCAUAAAUAUGAACUACCAUAGUUGCCAAGCAUCUGAAUUUUGAUCACAUGAACAUGGGGAUACUGCAAAGAUUGCAAGAUAUAAUUGAAGAUUGUAUCUCAAGAACUUGCUUAAUAUUUAAGUAUGCACCUUUAGAUCUUAUCUUUUUUAAUUUUGAAAGUCUAAUAACACAGAAGAG